CCGAAUUGUCAACACGAGUUGUUGCUGGUCCUCAAACCGGGGGCACGUGCACGCUCUGUUCACACAUCCACUCACACCUGUGCACCCUCUGUAGUUCCAUGGCGUGGGGGGCUCUGUCCUCCCGUUGUGGUCCUACGUCUUUACACACACUCUGUAACAAAGUCUCAUGGAAUGCAUGACGCGUUUAACGCAAUACAAUA
rnacentral:misc_RNA from 1 species